rnacentral:rRNA from 1 species
UUUCGCAAUGCCCGAAAGGGUGACGAAGCGACGCCGCGUGUGGGAAGAAGGCCUUCGGGUUGUAAACCACUGUCGGGAGUUAGGAAAUGCAGGUGCGUUAAUAGCGCACUUGCUUGACUAAGGCUCCAGAGGAAGCCACGGCUAACUCUGUGCCAGCAGCCGCGGUAAUACAGAGGCGGCAAGCGUUGUUCAGAAUUAUUGGGCGUAAAGAGCACGUAGGCGGCCUUGCAAGUCAGUUAUGAAAGCCUUCCGCUUAACGGAAGAACGGCAUCUGAUACUACAGGGCUUGAGUACGGGAGGGGAGAGUGGAACUUCUGGUGGAGCGGUGAAGUGCGUAGAUAUCAGAAGGAACGCCGGCGGCGAAAGCGACUCUCUGGUCCGAAACUGACGCUGAGUGUGCGAAAGCUAGGGGAGCAAACGGGAUUAGAUACCCCGGUAGUCCUAGCCGUAAACGAUGGGCACUAAGUAGAGGGGUUUU